rnacentral:rRNA from 1 species
AACGAACGCUGGCGGCGUGGAUAAGACAUGCAAGUCGGACGCUGAUUGCCGGGUAGCAAUAUUCGGCGGUCGGAGUGGCGAAAGGGUGCGUAACACGUGGGCAAUCUGCCGUGAAGUCGGGGAUAACUUGCUGAAAGGCGAGCUAAUACCGGAUGUGGUUUUGGGAGGCAUCUUUCUGGAACCAAAGUUGGGGACCGCAAGGCCUGACGCUUCAUGAUGAGCCCGCGGCCUAUCAGCUAGUUGGUGAGGUAAUGGCUCACCAAGGCAAAGACGGGUAGCUGGUCUGAGAGGACGACCAGCCACACUGGAACUGAGACACGGUCCAGACACCUACGGGUGGCAGCAGUCGAGAAUUUUUCACAAUGGGCGAAAGCCUGAUGGAGCGACGCCGCGUGGGGGAUGAAUGGCUUCGGCCCGUAAACCCCUGUCAUUUGCGAACAAACCUUUCCACCCAACACGUGGAGAGCUGAUUGUAGCGAAAGAGGAAGGGACGGCUAACU